GAAUUUUGGACAAUGGGCGAAAGCCUGAUCCAGCAAUGCCGCGUGCAGGAUGAAGGCCUUCGGGUUGUAUACUGCUUUUGUAUGGAACGAAAAGCUUUGGGCUAAUACCUCGGAGUCAGGACGGUAUCGUAAGAAUACGCACCGCCUAACGACGUGCCAGCAGCCGCGGUUAUACGUAGGGUGCAGGCGUUAAUCGGAAGUACUGGGCGUAAAGCGUGCGCAGGCGGUUUUGUAAGACAGAGGUGAAAUCCCCGGGCUCAACCUGGGAGCUGCCUUUGUGACUGCAAGGCUAGAGUACGGCAGAGGGGGGUGGAAUUCCGCGUGUAGCAGUGAAAUGCGUAGAUAUGCGGAGGAACACUGAUGGCGAAGGCAACCCCCUGGGCCUGUACUGACGCUCAUGCACGAAAGCGUGGGGAGCAAACA
rnacentral:rRNA from 1 species